rnacentral:rRNA from 1 species
UAUUGCACAAUGGGCGCAAGCCUGAUGCAGCAACGCCGCGUGCGCGACGAAGGCCUUCNGGUCGUNANGCGCUUUUCGGGGAGAUNCGCACGGACAGUAUCCCCGGAAGAAGGAUCGGCUAACUACGUGCCAGCAGCCGCGGUAAUACGUAGGUGGCGAGCGUUAUCCGGAAUUACUGGGUGUAAAGGGUGUGUAGGCGGGAUCGCAAGUCAGAGGUGAAACCCGUGGGCUCAACCCACGGCCUGCCAUUGAAACUGCGGUUCUUGAGAAUGGGAGAGGUAAACGGAAUUCCCGGUGUAGCGGUGAAAUGCGUAGAUAUCGGGAGGAACAUCGGUGGCGAAGGCGGUUUACUGGACCAUAACUGACGCUGAGACACGAAAGCGUGGGGAGCAAACAGG